rnacentral:lncRNA from 1 species
UUCCCAAGUCUGUGAAGAGAGAGAAUAAAGGCUGACCAUACCAUUUCUAGCCACAGGAAUGAGGUCAUCAGCUGCAGCUGUUCAUCCUGUGGAAAGAAUUUCCUGUUUCCAGCUCUGUACUGACCUCCAAGGCCACCUCUGGUUCAGACUUCUUCUGUGCUCCCUUAUCAGGAAGUCAUGAGAUGAC